CGCGUCCUCACCUUCGCAGAGAGUCGACGUCUGCCUACUGAUACACUAAUCUACUCGACAACAUUGCGGUUCUAAGGAGUCGAAGACAACAUUCACGAUCAAGAGGCAAGACUUGGUUUAUGAAAAGGUAACGUGGGUUGCGUUCACAAUAAAACCUUUUUAAACAUAUAUUUUUACUUAAAUUACGAUAUUCAAAUAAAAGCCUGUAUCGUGUUUACACAAGUGUGCAAACACACGAUACACAGAACUAAAUUAAUUGAUAACAUUUUUAUCAGACAUGCAUUUCUGUUUGUUUUAACAUGCAAGUAUUACGCGACUUAAUCAUUGUCAGUCUAAUAGAAGAAGACAGACUCUUUUUAAAUAUUACUAGUUGAAUCGUAUUAAAGUGGACUAGUAAGUCGAGUCGGUGGCACUGGAUGUGUUAAUAAAGAACAUACAGACGAAUUGAUAACCUUCUUUUUGAAGUCGACUAAUAAUAAAAUUGAAGUACAUUCCUGAUUGUAAUAUUUUCUUAUUAACUAAGAACAAAACAUAUAUAUUUGGUCUUUUAAAAUCACAUUGCGAAUGCAACCCACGUAAAUCAUAGAUGUUUUUAAACAUCUUGGCGGCUCGGAAUAUCUGCGCUGCAAAGAACACAAUUUUAUGUGUAGCGUGAAGAAAGGGGGUAGCACAGUGCGCACAUGGCCUUAGCCGCCAAGAUAUUUGAAAUAACGUAUACCUCAUUGAGGUUAGUUAACGAGGAGAGUCGUUGCAGAGACGUCCUGCGCUGGGAGACCAGCUUGCGCACCGCACUGAGCGGCCGCCGCAGACCGCCAAGGGAGAAAUCUGAACUCUCACUCUCCUCCUGUAUCGAUGGCACCUUCGAACCAAAUGUUACUUAUCCACCAACAACAAACAACUACAAAAACAAACUAACAACAAGAAGACUCGAUUAACAAAUGAACAGAAUAACUCACGACGAGAUACAAGGAAUUUUAGUGACGUUAUCCUGAAGACCGGAAGACCUUUCUUUCACAUUCAUACAUCUUCAUAUGCUCGUCUUAUGUGUACGCCUUAUAUACAUUUUGUGUAAUAAAAUAAAAUAAAUUGUUGUGUUAAUUAUUUUCACCCCACUUUGCUUGAUAAAUUGCAACUAGUAGAUAUUUUUA